UGGCACAAAUUGUGCUAAACCGACCUAACCUCUCCCUACUAUAAAUAGACUGUCCAUUUCACUAUUCAGCAUUUUCGACCAAACACUCCAUUCUCUCCGACCACCCCUUUUCUCCACCACAUCUAGUCUCACAUAGUCAUCCCUGUGUUGGGCAUCUCUGAUUGAUCCUUGGUGGUGUUUGGUCAGGUACUAGCAAGGCCACUUGCUCUGCUUUCACCCUAUACUUGUACCGUCUGCUUUUGCAUGCUUUGUUGCCUGAAAGUACUGAUGGAGAAGAGUAGAUUGAGAUCAGAAAAUGUGACUAGCAUGCUUGGUCUCUCUUCUUACUUCAUCAAAGUCUGUAAUAGCUAGAUUAAAUCUAAGAUGUCACAACACUAUAAUAACUUACGCAUGUUAAUUAACUUGCUCCGUCUUGCAUGCACUUGUUGAGGAAAAAAAAAAUCAAUCUGAAACUUGCCUCUGGUUACUAGGGUAGUACUAGUUUUGGUAUGUUCCUAGGAAGUUAAUCAGGAUCUAGAAUCAGUUUCAGAGUAGUAUUGCACUCCGCCAUAUCACAUCGAUCUAGUGUAAUGCUCUAGCCAGCAUGUAUAUUUGCAGCUAAUAGUAGUAGUAGUAGUAGUACGGUUGCAAAACAGAAGGUGAUUAGCACUUACAUAGCUAGCUGUAGAGGAGGAUUAGCAGUACAAGGUAGUCGCUGGUACCACGCUAGCUGCGGCGCCACGGCGCUGCCUUGGCAGCAGGAGUCUUGGUCCGGCCCAGGUGGCGUCAACCUCGGCAUCGACCAUGGUCGUCGAGCCGUACGGCCGAUGCGGCCGCGUGUGCUGUCGGCCAUGGCUUGGCGCAGAGCGACGGCGAGUGUGGAAAUCAAGUAGAGGAGAAUAAGGGGAUGUUGUAGAUGCGAGCGGUGGAGCCGAUGACAGCCGGACGUAGUAGAUCGAACCGGCGGUGACGGUGGUGUUCUUAGAAAGAGAGAAGUGACGGGAGAGAUAGGGACCUGGUUGGGGAAUACGAGUAGAUUAGGGGACGGUGUACCCGAGAGUAGCACUAGUACUGGGAUGGAUAGCUGAGCUUUGACCACACAUGCACAGAACCAAAAUGACUGGAUGAUAAAUUAUUUCCCUCUGUCGGUAGGGAUAGACAUGCUCAUUUGAUCAGGCCUGAUGCAUGUAUUCAUGCCUUUUCACAACACGAUGGCAUAUGCUUGCUAGCUAUGUAAAUGGAUUUGCCCAGUUUAAAUGCGCUGCCUA